ACACUCCUACGGGAGGCAGCAGUGGGGAAUAUUGCACAAUGGGCGCAAGCCUGAUGCAGCCAUGCCGCGUGUAUGAAGAAGGCCUUCGGGUUGUAAAGUACUUUCAGCGGGGAGGAAGGCGAUAAGGUUAAUAACCUUGUCGAUUGACGUUACCCGCAGAAGAAGCACCGGCUAACUCCGUGCCAGCAGCCGCGGUAAUACGGAGGGUGCAAGCGUUAAUCGGAAUUACUGGGCGUAAAGCGCACGCAGGCGGUCUGUCAAGUCGGAUGUGAAAUCCCCGGGCUCAACCUGGGAACUGCAUUCGAAACUGGCAGGCUAGAGUCUUGUAGAGGGGGGUAGAAUUCCAGGUGUAGCGGUGAAAUGCGUAGAGAUCUGGAGGAAUACCGGUGGCGAAGGCGGCCCCCUGGACAAAGACUGACGCUCAGGUGCGAAAGCGUGGGGAGCAAACAGGAUUAGAUACCCGGGUAGUCCCAU
rnacentral:rRNA from 1 species